GGCGCCGCCCCGCCGCGCUGGGCACGGGGCUGAGCGCGGCCUGGCGCUCCCGGCGCGCUUUCGGCGCGGAUUGUCGGGGAACGAGGGGCGGGGACGUCCCCGGAUCAAAUUUGCCACCAACUCUGCCACUUUCCUACCAAAACUGGUAGAAAACAUGCUAAAACAGAAAAAUGGAUAAUAAUGGACAAGAAGUAUUUUCUUUUCUGGCUGAACAACUAAAUAUUCUCAUCUUGUUGGAACCAAUCUAUCUUGUGUUACUUCUCUUUCAUCAUUCUUUCAUCACCUUUCUUUAUCGCUGACUAGAAAAAUAUACAUUAACUCCUGGAAAAGCUUACAAAAACCAAAAAGGAUGACCAUCUGAUGUAGUGGGAUUUCCUACAACUUCUGAAGAUCGUCGCUACAUAAGAAAGGAAAUUGAAUGAGGCAAAGCUGAAGUGUGUGCUCACCAGCAUGGGUGGGCCAGUCACCAUGGGCAUUGGCUUUUAGAAGCAACAUGCCCCUUGUUAGGGAGCCCUUCACCUAGGUGAUAUUCAGAGGUCUUGAGAAGAAACUGCUGAAGAAAUACAGCUGAGGUGAGGUGAGGAGAAAGUCAUAAAGAGCUUUAGGAUCGGGAGAGGUUAUUGUUUUGGGCGGGUAAGAAAAUAAACCACAAGUUCAAAAUAAACAAGGCUUUGCCAAGUUUACUGCUAACAGAAUUAAAUGAUUGUUCCCAGGAACUCACCAUAACUCUGUAUGCUGUGACUGCGCACAUAAAAAAAAACUUCUAAAAUAACCCUUUUUGUAUUUAGAGGUCAAGCCUUACCGCUGAUGAGCUUGUGAUGCAACUUAGUAAUUUUUCAUUUCCAACCUGAUAAUUUUCAAACACACACUUCUGAUGUUUUUUCCAAGAAGCACUCUCUUCUCUGAAAAGUCAUUAUAAUCACCUCAUAGCCACCUAAUUAUUUUCUCUGAAAGUCCUCAGGCCUGUUAAACUCUUGAUGAUGGUUGAGUGGUUGCUAUACUGAAACUGCUGUCUUAGAUUGUUUGUGUUUCCUAUUACUUUCUACCUCAUGGCUCCCAGUCCAAGUGUUUCUGUUCAGAGCAUUUCUUUGUUAAGCACAGUGAAAGUCUUAGUCAACACACUUGAGUCUAUAAAACUUAUGGUAAUGCAAGUAAAUAAAUAUGAAUACAUUGCUGUACUAGUUCUGUCCUGAAUGUGAAAAYGUUAGUGGUGUUCCUUCUAAACUGAAGAGUCUGGAAGUUGUUACGACARUGUCUCUAAAACAUGCUCACCACUGCAAAGUUGCCUCAUUAAGCUUAGCACCCAGUUGUUUGUGGAAGGAGAUUGAGAACAGGAUGGAGCUGUACUGGCACAAGGGGCAGCCACAGACUGCAACAAAAGGAGGAAACAAAACUGAGGAAUGGAYUUCAUCUUUUGCUGAUCCCUGUGAUAGCAUUGAAUGAAAAGAGGUAACAAUUUGUGCUUUGUCACAGUGACUCAGCCUUUUGUAAGGCAGGGUGUUAUYCAAGACUGGCCUCAGUGAAAAUGCAGUUGCUCCCACAAGCAUAUUCUUGUCUUAGGAUCACUUGUUAAUGCAUAUUUAUUUAGUAAUUUACUUUCUGGGAACAAUUCCAUUSAUGCCCACUUUCUCAUUAUCAGCAAAGUGUAACUCAUUACCCUGUUUUUCAGAAGGCACAAAUGAGAUAGCAAGUGAGCUAGUUGCUAGCUUAAAGCCAUGGAGUGGGUCAGUGAGUCAUCAGCAGAAUAGUUUGACUGGGAGGCAGGUUUUGUUUGUGUUUCAUUCCAGCAAAAACAAAAGAAUGCUGGCUGGGAGAAAAACUUCAAAACAAACAAACUGGAACAAUCACUCCCAAGCUGAUUUUGACUAGAAUUUGGUUCAGAGUCUGACACUGAACGAUUAUCAGUGAAUUCCAGAUCCUUGUUUCAUCCUCAAAAGCUUUGUUCUCCAUAAA